GACUCGAUCUAAAUGCAUCAAUCAAUUAGAACUUCUAAUUGAUUACUGAAUUAAACUCUUUAAUUCUUGCGAGUCUACAAGUCAAGAUUGAUGUCUAGCAAUACAUGUCAUGACUACCCAGAAGAUAUAAAAUUUUGAUGAAAAUACUGAAAAUAUCAAAAAUAUCCUUCAGUGAUCAGUUACCAUAUAAUUCAUUCUUUCGAUCAUACAACAUCUUAGAUAAGUUAUGGACAUACAAUCAUGUCAAGCUCAAAUACUUAUCUAUAUAUAUUUUGAUCUGAAUAUGAUGACUCAGCUAAUGAUAUAUUAAAAAUUCUUUCUAAUUAUCAUCCUAUUUUGGCCAAAGACUUCUUGAAUAUCAUCCUAUGAGAUAAUAUAAGAUGUUCUCUCUCUUUAUAAGGAGUGAUCUAUUUCUUGUUGACCACUCACAACCUUUAUAUAUACUUCAUCAUAUCCAGAACAUCCCAUGCAAUGCUAAUGAACCA
rnacentral:lncRNA from 1 species